rnacentral:rRNA from 1 species
GAUGAACGCUGGCGGCGUGCCUAAUACAUGCAAGUCGAGCGAACAGAUGAGGAGCUUGCUCCUUUGACGUUAGCGGCGGACGGGUGAGUAACACGUGGGUAACCUACCUAUAAGACUGGGAUAACUUCGGGAAACCGGAGCUAAUACCGGAUAACAUUUUGAACCGCAUGGUUCUAUAGUGAAAGAUGGUUUUGCUGUCACUUAUAGAUGGAUCCGCGCCGCAUUAGCUAGUUGGUAAGGUAACGGCUUACCAAGGCAACGAUACGUAGCCGACCUGAGAGGUUGUUCGGCCACCCUGGAACGAGGACACGUUCCAGACUCCUACGGGAGGCAGCAGUAGGAAAUCUUCCGCAAGGGGCGAAAGCCUGACGGGGCAACGCCGCGUGAGUGAUGAAGUUCUUCGGAUCGUAAAACUCUGUUAUUAGGGAAGAACAAAUGUGUAAGUAACUAUGCACGUCUGGACGGUACCUAAGCAGAAAGCCACGGCUAACUACGU